GAUGAACGCUGGCGGCGUGCCUAAUACAUGCAAGUCGAGCGAACAGAUGAGGAGCUUGCUCCUCUGACGUUAGCGGCGGACGGGUGAGUAACACGUGUAUAACCUACCUAUCAGACUGGGAUAACUUCGGGAAACCGGAGCUAAUACCGGAUAAUAUAUUGAACCGCAUGGUUCAAUAGUGAAAGACGGUUUUGCUGUCUCUUAUAGAUGGAUCCCCGCCGCAUUAGCUAGUUGGUAAGGUCACGGCUUACCAAGGCAACGAUGCGUAGCCGACCUGUGAGAGGGAUCGGCCACACUGGAACGUAGACACGGUCCAGACUCCUACGGGAGGCAGCAGUAGGGAAUGUUACGCAAUGGGCGAAAGCCUGACGGAGCAACGCCGCGUGAGUGAUGAAGGUCUUCGGAUCGUAAAACUCUGUUAUGAGGGAAGAACAAAUGUGUAAGUAACUAUGCACGUCUUGACGGUACCUAAUCAGAAAGCCACGGCUAACUACGUG
rnacentral:rRNA from 1 species